AGUCAGAAUUGAUUUUUUGUGGUGAAUAUAACAUUUCAAAGUGUUGUAAAAGUAAAGAUACAUAUAUAAGUAUAUUUAUACAAUGAUAUUUAAGGAAUUUCAAAAAUUUUAGAACUAAUAUAAUUGGCAUUGCAUAAACUGUUGUGAAGCGUUUUUUUUUUAAAUUUAUAAUAAUACAUUAAGCUGGUCAGUAACAUGUUGAAAUUUUUUUCACUUCGGUGUUUAUCAUCAAAAUAGAUUAUGGUCGUUUGUAAUUUAACAGGCAAACAACACAAAAAUGACAGCUUGCUCGUGGAACGACAUUUUGAUUGACUUAUAUGCCGUUUCCACAAGCAAGCAAUAUGCUGCGUUAUCUCUUAUGCUAAGUGCUGUACAUGACACAUACCUGUGCUACCAGAGAACAUACAUUCUUUUACGUUGUCUGGUGGAACUAUGAAAUUUACUUUCAACGGAAGCGGAGCUAA